rnacentral:rRNA from 1 species
UACAGAGGGUGCAAGCGUUGUUCGGAAUUAUUGGGCGUAAAGCGCGCGCAGGCGGUUCUUUAAGUCUGAUGUGAAAGCCCACGGCUCAACCGUGGAGGGUCAUUGGAAACUGGAGAACUUGAGUACAGAAGAGGAAAGCGGAAUUCCACGUGUAGCGGUGAAAUGCGUAGAUAUUGGGAAGAACACCGGUGGCGAAGGCGGCUCACUGGCUCAUUACUGACGCUCAGGCGCGACAGCGUGGGGAUCAAACAGG